GAAAUCCUGGAGAGAAAGGAGAUGAGGAUAAAAAAAAAUUCCAGUGGUCAGCAGUGACUGCAGAGAUUAGUCCAAGUACUGAGAGGAAGUGACUGCGGAGUGAUUGGUCAUCAAUGCUACAUCUUGUAUCAGGGAGGACAGGAGCAGACAGUGGGAAGAAUGGGGAGACGGAGGGAAGAUGAAGGAAUGCUCACUGGUGCCCAGACACGUCAUGGCUGU
rnacentral:lncRNA from 1 species